rnacentral:rRNA from 1 species
GUCGAACGGCAGCACGGGGGCAACCCUGGUGGCGAGUGGCGAACGGGUGAGUAAUACAUCGGAACGUGCCCCGUAGCGGGGGACAACCAGUCGAAAGACUGGCUAAUACCGCAUACGCUCCACGGAGGAAAGCAGGGGAUCGCAAGACCUUGCACUAUGGGAGCGGCCGAUGCCCGAUUAGCUAGUUGGUGAGGUAAGAGCUCACCAAGGCAACGAUCGGUAGCUGGUCUGAGAGGACGACCAGCCACACUGGGACUGAGACACAGCCCAGACUCCUACGGGAGGCAGCAGUGGGGAAUUUUGGACAAUGGGCGCAAGCCUGAUCCAGCCAUGCCGCGUGCGGGAAGAAGGCCUUCGGGUUGUAAACCGCUUUUGGCAGGAACGAAACGGCGCUCGCUAAUACCGGGCGCUAAUGACGGUACCUGCAGAAUAAGCACCGGCUAACUACGUGCCAGCAGCCGCGGUAAUACGUAGGGUGCAAGCGUUAAUCGGAAUUACUGGGCGUAAAGCGUACGCAGGCGGCUUGGUAAGACAGGUGUGAAAUCCCCGGGCUCAACCUGGGAACUGCAUUUGUGACUGCCUGGCUCGAGUCUGUCAGAGGGGGGUGGAAUUCCACGUGUAGCAGUGAAAUGCGUAGAGAUGUGGAGGAACACCGAUGGCGAAGGCAGCCCCCUGGGAUGAGACUGACGCUCAUGUACGAAAGCGUGGGGAGCAAACAGGAUUAGAUACCCUGGUAGUCCACGCCCUAAACGAUGUCGACUAGUUGUCGGGGAUUUACAUCCUCGGUAACGCAGCUAACGCGUGAAGUCGACCGCCUGGGGAGUACGGUCGCAAGAUUAAAACUCAAAGGAAUUGACGGGGACCCGCACAAGCGGUGGAUGAUGUGGAUUAAUUCGAUGCAACGCGAAAAACCUUACCUACCCUUGACAUGCCCGGAAUCCU